rnacentral:rRNA from 1 species
CCUACGGGGGGCUGCAGUCGAGAAUCAUUCACAAUGGGCGAAACCCUGAUGGUGCGACGCAGCGUGCAGGAUUGAAGGCCUUCGGAUUGUAAACCCCUGUCAUGUGGGAGCAAAUUAAAAAGAUAGUACCACAAGAGGAAGAGACGGCUAACUCUGUGCCAGCAGCCGCGGUAAUAAAGAGGUCUCAAGCGUUGUUCGGAAUCACUGGGGGUAAAGGGUGCGUAGGCUGUUUGGUAAGUCGUGGGGGAAAGUCGCGGGCUAAACCCGCGGAUGGCAGAUGAUACUGGGAGACUAGAGUAUGGUAGGGGGAACCGGAAUUCUCGGUGUAGCGGUGAAAUGCGUAGAUAUCGAGAAGAACACUCAUGGCGAAGGCAGGUUCCUGGACAUUAACUGACGCUGAGGCACGAAGGCCAGGGGAGCGAAAGGGAUUAGAUACCCGAGUAGUC